rnacentral:tRNA from 1 species
AAAUAAGAAGCAAAAAAUUGCAUUUAGUUUCGACCUAAAAAUUUGAUUAAAAUUAAUCCUUAUUUU